CAGCAGCCGCGGUAAUACGGAGGGUGCAAGCGUUAAUCGGAAUUACUGGGCGUAAAGCGCACGCAGGCGGUCUGACAAGUCAGAUGUGAAAUCCCCGGGCUUAACCUGGGAACUGCAUUUGAAACUGUCAGGCUGGAGUCUUGUAGAGGGGGGUGGAAUUCCAGGUGUAGCGGUGAAAUGCGUAAAGAUCUGGAGGAAUACCGGUGGCGAAGGCGGCCCCCUGGACAAAGACUGACGCUCAGGUGCGAAAGCGUGGGGAGCAAACAGGAUUAGAUACCCCUGUAGUCCCUGUCUCUUAUAA
rnacentral:rRNA from 1 species